ensembl:lncRNA
GGAAGAAUACCUAGGGAUAGCUGCCAAGUUUCUGCUUGUGUUCCAUUUUAAGGUUCAGAGAAUGAAAGAAGUAGGUGUGAACACUGCAACAUCAUAUGCUUUGAUGGAGUUCAUGAACUUAAUGUGUGCAUUUAAGAUGUGCAAGGAGACACAGCUACCCAGGACACAAAGCUUGUUUCAUGCUCAGUGGGCAAUCAGCCUACAAGAAGAGCUAAGAAAGGGUCAUGGCUCAGGCCCAGCCCCUCUGGGGACCAAGGUACCCAGUGACAUGACUGGUUCAGUGCCUGCGCCACACAGCAUUCAGAGCUGUGAGAGUGGAGAUGGCUCUACCACUUUCUUCAGAAAACUUCUCGCAACAUCCCAUUAUGAAGGGUGAAUUGGUGCCCAACCAUACUCAGGAGAACAUCUGGAGAAGAUAGAACAGGGAUGGUGCAGAUUCAGGGGAGAGCAAAAUACUUCAUGUUUCAGAAGAACCUAGACAGAUUUCUCCAAAUGCAUCUCUACUUGUUUGUCAUUCACACUGACGUAUGGACCCCCUUCCCUCCCCUCUUUUUGGUAAAGUGACAGUGAGAUUCAGAUGCCUAUACGAGAGCUUGCAGCAGCUGUUUUGGAUGUCCUCAAGAUGUAAGAAGGUCCCAGACAGAGCAGGCCGAUGUGAUGGAGGAUGAAAGAAAAUUGACCUUCUGGAGAUUUGAUUGGGCACCAAGCAGGACAACAUGAGGCAAGUGAAUCCUAACCUUUAUUGUGUUCAUAUUCUCCUAAUGAAAAAAUGCUGUAAUUCAGCAUUAAUAAUGAGAUACAGCAUUAGCUAAACAAGAUCAUACGAUCUUGUGUGAAGCAACUGUACCUCAAAAUCAGCUCUAGUGACAGUCAAAGUGGGACUUACAAUACACCAGUCUACAACUUCCAACAAAGGUGGCACAAGCCUUGCGAUACUUCCUGUAUCUGCGAGGAGAUCUCAAAUCCAUCCAUACAAGGUACAGUGGCACUGUUAUACUUGGCUUUCAUCCUAGCAACUUGAAGCACUUCAUUACAAAAUGUUUCACAGCUUCUGAAGAGUAUAAAACACUGAAAUGAGCUAUCGGGCAUAUUUCAUCUACUACUAGCUGGUAUAUUCCAGGAAAGACCUCUUAUUCUCAAUAGUGGGUAGAAGCAGCAAAUGGGAGAGAGUAAAGCAUCUGCAUACAAAAGCCAGUUUAAACUUCCUAAAGUGGGGAGAAAAAAAAACCACAAAAAUAUGAUGAGAUUGAAAACUUUCUUUUUCUUUAAUGCAAUAGUAGCUAUGAAUAGAUAAAGCAGCCUGCAAGCUUCUGACCAUACUGUAGCACGGGAGGAUAACUGCCUUGCAUGGGAAAUCAAUGAUGCUGUAGCACUGCACUUUUGCUUUGGAGGAACACUGCUGGAAGCACCUAAGAUUCAUAUUGCUCACUGCCUUUCUUUCCUCACUCCAGAUAUGUCUCUUAAUUUUCCACCACUAGGUAAAUAAUAAAGGACCUGCAUAUAACAGAGAUUUAAUAAAUAGCAAAGAUGUGGGAUAUAUGAAAGAUUGAGUGCAAAAAAAAAAAAGAUUCUGGAUCUGUUCAAUUAGUUUGAUUAUAUUUUAUUAGAAAGCUCAGCCAAUACAAAUGAUUCUUGUUCACUACCAGCCAGUUUAAAGUGUGGUGUUUCAUUGUAAUUCAUAUAGAUGUUUUCUGUCCAGUUAAAUAUAAACUCCUUGGGUAAGUACUGCUACUUUUCGUGUAUUGAAUGUUAAGAAGCAUAAGCAGCACCAGCAAUGCUUCAGUGUAAGUCAAUAUACAUACACGUUUACAUUUCAGACAUUAAAAGGAAAAAUUAAAUUAAUGUACCAGUUGCAUUUUAAGCUCUACUUGCUUUUAGUAGUAAUUGAGAUGAAUGGUUAAUUUAAAUCUAUUUCCAAAGUUAAGGCUGAAAGCAUUUCAUUUAUAUUCAACAAUAACCAACAUAGUAUGGCAUUUUACCAAAACAUGGGACACCUCAAAAACAGAAGACUUAUUCGAUUUCUUGUUGACAGAAUUGACAGCUCUUUGCUACUGUUGUUGCCAAAAUGAAUAUGCUAAUUUACUUUUUAAUUCUGUAGCAAGUGUGAAAAUACUCCACUGUGAAAAAUAAAAAUACUUUUUUAUUAUGUAUCUUAAACGGAAAUGUCUUCGAACAUUGUAUUUUUAGUUAUACAUAGUGAAUAAAAAAGCUGCUGGUGGCAGUAUUUUUAAGUAGCUGACUUCAUGACUUAAUUAAAUGCAGAACAGUAUUCUGGAUAAGUUUAAAGUAGAUAGCUAACGUAAAUCAGAUGAUAAAACUGGCGUGCAUGAAACAAAUAAUGGCUAAGACAUCUUAAUAUUCUCAAUUUCUAUAUAUCUUACUAUUGUAAUCUUAACUUGAGCAUGUGUUAACUGGGCAGACAUAUUCAGCAAUGGUCUUCUCGGAGCCUCCACAGAGCUAGGCAGCACAUAAUCACCACUGCUCUCACUUCUGUAAUCCGCAGCACAGGCAGGCUACGUGUUGUUUUCAUAUAGGAGUUCUCCAGAAGAGACAAACCAGAAGCCAUUUGAAAUUCUGCCCUACUGAAACCUGCAGUUGUAUUGCUACUGUAGUACUUCUGUGGCUUUAUGGAUGGAAAACAGAAUACGUACCACUCUGACUAAACCUAUGGGACUGGAAACAUUAGAAGUGCACAUGCUGUAUUUCAAGAGAGUCUUUUUCUUUUAAUGAACAAGUACGAAUAUUGAUUACCCAAACAGCAAAAUGUACAAAACAAUGCAUGUGUUUGCAAGUUAGAAGAUAGAGGAAAGUUUAUGAGGUUAGAGGUAAAAAAAUACUUUUUAAAUGUGUAUGACUCAAAUAUAUUCUGUGAAAAUUGUAUUUUUCACUGUAGCUUUUAAAUUUAAGUGCUGUUAAGAACAAGAAACAAAAUAGAUAAAUUUUAUGUUCAAUAUAUCUCAAUUUUGUCUUCUCUACAUAAUUGUUGGUAAUAUUUUUUCUAUGCUGAGAUUUCUUUCUUUCCCUCUUUCUUCCUGUUUUCUGCCAGAAGUGGCAUAUGAGAAACAUCAUUUUCAUCUUGCACUGAAGAACGUGAAAUGAAGCCAGUGCAAACCCUACUUCUCUAGAAGGUUCUAGUUCACUAUAGAGGUUUUUUCAGGAGCCUGGCAGAACUAUCACUCUCUCUGGGUACAGAUAUCUUUGCUCAGUGCUAGAACUUUCAUCUUUUCUGAAUAAAAGUCCAUGUAUCAGGACAUAAAGAAGCAGUAUGUACAGACACUGCACAUCAGUGGAAAUUACCUACUUAAAGUAAAAUAUAGUAGGUCAUCUGUGGUAAUAUUGAACACUGAUGGAACACACCCUACAAUGUACUGAUGUGUAUCUUUGUCGUGCAUAACUAUGACUAUUUGGUACUCACAGGGAAGCCAAACACAGGGAAUAGCCAUCCCUUCACUAACUACUGAGAGUUAAAUGAAAUGAUUAAUACUUAACAAAACAGUUCCAUAGAUAGGUACACCUGGCAUAGAGAGUAGAUAGGUAAGUUUUUAGCAUGAACAUUUAAAGAACUUGAAGUGGUCAUUGGAACAAACUCACAUACGCGCUACUAUGGCUUCUGUUUGAAAAGUUAGCUGUCAGUAUGGCUUAACAUCAAAGGAAAUAGCUUUUCAACAGUUGUCAAGCAUCACAGACUCUGAAUAUUGUUGAUGUUCUUGAUAUUUUCAGUCUGGCUCUAGACAUUACUCUGUUCAUAUUUUAGUCACCUUGGAGAGAUGAAUGAAUUUCAGAUAUCCAUCUGGUAGUGGCCUCAUCUACUGCAUCACAGUUACAGCUGCUACUGUCUUGUACACUGUGAAUGAAUCGACAACAGUCCUGGAGUAGUAUUUUUCCUCGGAUGACUGUAAGGGGUAAGGGAAGAACUGCUUCCUUUCCUGAAGAAGGGUAAUAUAGCACGUUGUUGCCUUCCCGUUAUAGAAAGCAUUUCAGGAAGCUGAUGACAUCCAACUGUAUAUGCCUACGAUUAUGUCAACAGAGAUGCUUUAACUAAAAGAAUGUUUCCCAGUAGUCAUCAGCCUUCAGCACUCCUACUUCCCAAGCUGCUAUCAGAUAUGAACACUAUAGCAGCAAUUGAAUUUGCUUUUUACGAUCAGUGCAAGGCCUUUAUUGCUGUAGACAGACUGCUGCUGGCAUUAUCAUAUUUUUUCUUAUUUCAAGAUUAGAUUAAUGCAAUAAAACUUCACCUUUAAAAAUAAGCUGCCGGAGAAUACUACAGUUUAUAUGACAUGAGAAAGACUACCUAGAUAAAAUGCAGGAAUUAAAGAUAAGGACCUCUACUCGUGUUCAGACAGAAACUAAUGAGUUAUGUAGUUACCCGAAGAACCUUGACAAGUCAUAGGACCUGUUCAGUGUCCAACAAACAAACUAAAACAACAACAAACAUGCCUGCCCCCACCACUACUAUACAAUCUCCCUCCCAACCCACAAGCCCUAUUUACCCAGCCCUGCCCCCUCUCUAUUUCUUCCCUCCUGGGAAACUCCAAAGUUCAAUCCAAAGCAGGAGUAUUUCUGCUUCCUCUGUAGAUGAGGUUGCAGGCAGGCCAGUCUUCUUGGGAGCUAUACCUUCACUUAGCUCUUGAAGCAGAACUAAUUCAACCUUCAUCUCCGAUGCAUUCUUAAUCCCCCUUUCCUGGUAGUGUAGGAAGGUGGAGGAAGAUAGAACACAAGGUAUGCAGAAAGGCUUUUAUGUAGAUUUUCUGUUUUUGCAGGAUAGUUGAUGAAGAAAGAUGUCAUACUGAUUUACUUAUUUAAAACUAAUGGUGCGUUAUCUACAUUUUGUCACAGCAUUCAGCUUUUCCAAGGGCAUUUUUCCAAUGAUUUAAAUUCAGACUUCAGGCACUCAUGACAAAAUAAAAGAUGAGAGGUAUUCCCUAAGUCAUUUAUCCUUAAUUACGCAGGCAGCCUCAGCAUGUAGCUCUGCCUCCAUUUUUGUACCGUUCAGAUUAGAAAAACAAUUCAGAUUAAGGCAUGGCAAAGCAGAGCUUGAAUUUGCAUUGAAAUGCACGAGUGAUUCCAGUAACUGCUGGUGUGCAACAUCUUAUUCACCAGUAAAUAAAUGGAAAAUAGCUUAGUAUAAGAUGUAUUGUUCUCAGUAGGCAAGACAACGGACAUUUAUUUCGUAUCUCCUGUUGGUAUUUCUUACCUUAUAUUGUGUGCUCACUUCAUCUGCUCAUAUCCAAGCAGUGGAAGCACUUUAUGUGCAGGAAGCAAUAAUGAAGCGGUAUGGGACAGCUGUACCGAAUCUUCUGAAAAAAAAAAGUCUCCAUAUGCUAUUUUUAGUGUCAGAAUUGGCAGUCCAAAAUAAUCCCUCUGACAUUAUCUAAGUUCACCUAAUUGUAAGACACAGCCUGCAGUCUGACACAGGCGGCCUCAAUCAGAUCAGAGCACUCAGUGAGCAGUUUUCCCACUCGCUGGUCAAAAACUAGCAGAUCAAUAAAGGGCUACAAAAAUGCACCACCCUUCAGGCUGGUCCGUAAUAAGCAGAAGAGGACGACAGUUUAGGUCGGCACGUAAGGUUUGGUUUUGCUCAUCGGGCUUUUAAAACAAGAGAGGAAUGGAGCAAACACAACCUUGUUAUUAAAUGGAAGCAGCACUGUGUCACCAUCCAUAGCCACGCUGCAGGGUGCUGCAACAGAGGGACCAGCGACCCACGUUUAAAGAAAGCAAAACAAAACAGUAGCCUGCGAAGCUGCUACUCUCUUUGAUAAUAGAGGUGAUAACAAAAAAAAAAAAAAAACGACGGAAGCAAUAAAAGUCUUAUCUUACAAAAACCAUUAAAUUUUACUUUACAUAAAGCAAACCCGGAAGUGCAAUACAAAUUAUUGUGUCUGGAUAAAGAGUUGUACGUGUUUAAAUGAGAACGAUCCAACAGACGCUGGAAGGACAGCAGACACCCAAGGCACUCUCACUACGAUGGGAACUACGCUUUCUCUGCAUUCUCGCCCACGCUUUGUGUCGAGAAGCGGGACAGCAGCUCGGCAACACCCAGUAACGCCGCACACCAGUCAGGAAGGCAUCGCGGCGCUGCUUUCGGUGCUGGAAGCACUAUUCACCCUGACUUAACCCAGCGCUUUCAUCUUCUUCAAAUGCCGCGCAGCACGCGUGGAAAUAACAGGCGAAUUCUUUGGGAGUUCCAAGCGGUACGUCCGCUUUUACGCUCCUAGCAGAACCGACUGUUUCCAGCCAGCUAAACGAAGCGUGAAGCGGUUUUUACUGCGCUUUAUGACCGCUUACUGCACGCCGCCUCAUCGCCUCAGCGACGGCCUCGCAGGGAAGCGGCGCGCGCAAAGCCGCGCAGAGCCCCGCGUCCCGCCGCCCGCCCGCCAGAAGCGGAGAUGCCGGGGUCCCUCUGCGGCCCCCGACGCCGCAGGCGGACAUUAAACGGCUCCCAACGGCGAGAGGACGGCGGCCCGGCUGAGGAGCCGGAGAGGAGGGUGGCUCGCUGCAGCCCCUUCUCCGCGCCCUUUACCCCGAGGCCGAGAGUCCCCACGCGCCGUCCCGUACCUCAGCCCGCGCCGCUCCCCGCUCCAGUCGCGCGGCCGCUUUAAGGAUUACAAAUCGCUCCUCGCGCCGCGCCGCCGCGCGCACCGUU